rnacentral:misc_RNA from 1 species
GCUUAAUCGUAAAAUAUUUACCCACACCUCAACCGCCAGAGCACUACGAGUAACUAACUUAAAACUCAAAGGACUUGACGGCGUCUCACCUACCUAGAGGAGCCUGUUCUAUAAUCGAUACCCCCCGAUACACCUAACCACUUUUUGCUAAUCAGUCUGUAUACCUCCGUCGCAAGCUUACCAUAUGAAUGUUAAUUAGUAAGCAAAAAGGUCACCACACCAAUACGUCAGGUCAAGGUGCAACCCACAAAGUGGUAAGAAAUGGGCUACACUUUCUAAUUUAGAAGAUACGAAUAGUCAUAUGAAAAAUGACAAUGAAGGCGGAUUUAGUAGUAAGGGGCAAAUAGAGCGUGCCCCUUAACCCAGCAAUGAGACGUGUACACACCGCCCGUCACCCUCUUCAAUCAAACAACUUUAGUUUAUAACACCCCACAACACUAAAGAAGAGGUAAGUCGUAACAUGGUAAGUAUACUGGAAAGUGUACUUGGAAUAACAAAAUAUAGCUUAACCAAAGCACUUCGCUUACACCGAAUCAAUAUCUGUUCAAACCAGAUUAUUUUGAGCCAUAAACUCCGCCUACAAACUCAACAUAUAAUAAACAACAUAAAACAUUUAAACAGUCUAGUAGAGGUGAUCGAAAACCUUAAUAAGAGCCACAUAUACAGUACCGCAAGGGAAAAGUGAAAUAGAAGUUAAAUAAACUAAAAGCCCAUAAAAGCAGAGAUUAACGCUCG